rnacentral:lncRNA from 1 species
UUAGUCAUGUCAAGAUUCAGAUGGAAUCCAUUGGUUUCAAGUGGAGACUCUUCGGGGUUCAUUUCGACAGGUUGUUUGAAAACUGAGUUGGUCAGUACACACAAUAUUGUUUGGUAUCUUAAGCAAAGAAGGGUUGCUAUAUAUAUUGAAGCCUCGACAAACAAGGAUGAUAGGGCUUGUCUGAAAUUCAAGUGGAUGUUUUGAAAGAAACAUCACAACAAGUUCUUAUGCUAUCUUAGGAAAGGUGUGAGCUGGAUCAGUUGCUGAUGAGAAGGAUAAUUAUGGUUAUCUGGCUAUCCUAGCAUUCUCUGAAGAUGACUCACCUCGCACUUCUCAGGUAUGAAUUCUUUCUAACUAUGCAAUACUUAUUUCUUUAUAUUCAAAGCAUGUUAUAAAUCUC